CGAAAAUCUAAAAACCAGUGAUUGAGAACACAUUGGAAGAAGCGAGACACGGAAAGAAUGAAUCACGAAGAUGGCGCUGAUGCUUGGGGUUCUCAAAGGCCAGAAACGCCCCCUUGGGAUGCAACAGAGUACAGUCAGCUCAUCUCUUCAGGGCUGUUGCCGCCACUACUAGAGCAGUAUGCAGGCGUAGGUUCUUAUGACCAAAACACAAUUAGGGGGCCCCCGUGGCAAGUUCACUCACAAGGCGCUA